rnacentral:lncRNA from 1 species
CUGCAGUGAUCCCUUGAGGUGGCACUGUGGACCCUUUCCCCUCAGGACUGUGGCAUCACAGGACAUGGCCCCCUCAGCCACCUAGCUGGGGCCCAUCUAGGAGUGGCAUCUUUUUUGGUGCCCUGAAGGCCAGCUCUGGACCUUCCCAGGAAAAGUGCCAGCUCACAGAACUGCUUGACCAAAGGACCGGCUCUUGAGACAUCCCCCAACCCACCUGGCCCCCAGCUAGGGUGGGGGCUCCAGGAGACUGAGAUUAGCCUGCCCUCUUUGGACAGCAGCUCCAGGACAGGGCGGGUGGGCUGACCACCCAAACCCCAUCUGGGCCCAGGCCCCAUGCCCCGAGGAGGGGUGGUCUGAAGCCCACC